GGUCGCGUCCGCGUUAAAGUGAAAUAAAUUGUCAAAUAUUACAAAAAUUGUGUUAGGAAUGGUGUUAAUUUUUGUAAAACCUCAUUAUUGUGCCGUUAUUAAAUAUGAAAGUGAUGAAAUUAGUGCAAAAUAUAGCCUAAAAAGGCUGAAAUCCAAUAUUUAAAUUUUCUUGAUAAGUGCGUUGAAGUCGUUGUUGGUAAAUUAGCGAAUUAGUGAGUGCCGUCAUACGAUACUCCCGUUAAGUGUUCGAUGUAUGUGCAUGUGUAUGUGUUGUGCAAGAAGAUGUGUUGUGCAGAAGAUGGGUUGUGUUGCUGUGAAUCGCCAGAAAGGUUGGAAAAAAACGGCGUAUUCUUUGUCAAUGUUAAAGUCCUAGUGCAGUUUCUAAAAACAGCGAAAUACAAGACCAUUAAGUUUUAAGAAAAUAAUAAAGUGUGCAGUAAAGGUUUUUAAAAGGUUUUUCAAAGAAAUGAAAAUAUAAUAUUACAAAAUGAGAAAGAAAAAUUCAAAAUGUUGUUGUUGCUAAAUAACCAAAGAAGCCAAAUGUCGUCAUCCGCUAAUCCCGUUAAGUGUAUGGCCAGCCUUGGAAAGUGUUGUGUUAUGUGAGAUGAUAGGUUGGUUGUAUUAAUGUGAGUUGCCACAUUGGAAAAAAUGAGUAUCGGCAUUGUAACUGCCGCGGUUAAAAUCAUUUGCAAUUAUAAAAUAAAAAGUUUCAAAGAAAUAUAGAUGUGUGCAGUUUCAACCUUAAAGGUACUAGUGCGGUAAUAAAAUAAUGUGUUUCUACUUCUACGAAGAGUCUCAAAAAAUUUUAGUGUUGUUAAUUUUGUUGUUGGUUCAAAAGUGCCGUCAUGUUGAUAAGCAUAUGUAAGUGUUGGGUUAUAUGAGUAUAUGAGCUGUCUUACUAAGAGUUGCCACAUCAAUAAAAUUAAGAAUAAACAUUUUUGUUGCCAUAAUUUAAUAAUGAAAAAAAUAAAAUAAAUAAAUAAAUUAAAAAAUGUAGAAAAAUAAAAUAAUAAAAAGUAAAAAAAUGUAAGUUUUGGUUAUUUUCAUGUCGGCAUAUGUGUAAUAAGUGUUGUGUUUAUUUGAUUUGCACAUAGUCCUAUGGCAAUGAGUGAAAGCAGUAAAAUAAAAGUUUAUACAGUUUCAGAGGAAUUUUAAGAAGUGCAGCAUACAACUUAAAGCACCAAUCAAGAAAAUGUACAAAAAUAAUUGAAAUAGGACGCGCAACAAACAAGAAAAUG